rnacentral:pre_miRNA from 1 species
UAAACAGAUUUUUGUAUUCGACUGUAUUCACGGCGUGAAACAGGGGUUUACAGUUAUUUUUAAACGGAAAGUGUAUCAAUUAACAUAAUAGACUCCU